rnacentral:rRNA from 1 species
UGAUUCCCCUAGUAACGGCGAGUGAAGCGGGAAAAGCUCAAAUUUGAAAUCUGGUAGAGUUUUAUUCUUUGCCCGAGUUGUAAUUUCAAGAAGCUGCUUUGAGUAAUGAACGUCGGUCUAAGUUCCUUGGAACAGGACGUCAGAGAGGGUGAGAACCCCGUCUUUGGCCGAUGUGCUUUGCCAUAUAAAGCGCUUUCUAAGAGUCGAGUUGUUUGGGAAUGCAGCUCUAAAUGGGUGGUGAAUUUCAUCUAAAGCUAAAUAUUGGCGAGAGACCGAUAGCGAACAAGUAGAGUGAUCGAAAGAUGAAAAGAACUUUGAAAAGAGAGUUAAAUAGUACGUGAAAUUGCUGAAGGGGAAGCAUUGGAAACCAGUCUUACCUUGGUGAGAUCAGCUGUUUACUUGUAGACAGUGCACUCUGAACCUAGGUAGGUCAGCAUCAGUUUUCGGGGACGGAAAAAGAAUAAGGGAAUGUGGCUUUUGGGCUUGCUCAGAAGUGUUAUAGCCCUUAUUGUAAUACGCCCACUGGGGACUGAGGUCUGCGACUUUGUCAAGGAUGCUGACAUAAUGGUUUUCAAUGGCCCGUCUUGAAACACGGACCAAGGAGUCUAGCAUCUAUGCGAGUGUUUGGGUGGCUAAACCCAUACGCGAAAUGAAAGUGAAUGCAGGUGGGAACUUUUUGUGCACCACCGGCCGAUCCGGAAGUUUGUCAAUGGAAGGAUUUGAGCAAGAGCAUAGCUGUUGGGACCCGAAAGAUGGUGAACUAUGCCUGAAUAGGGCGAAGCCAGAGGAAACUCUGGUGGAGGCUCGUAGCGGUUCUGACGCGCAAAUCGAUCGUCAAAUUUGGGUAUAGGGGCGAAAGAC